GCCUCAUGGUAAGGUGGUUACCGAAGAAAGACUCAUAAUCUUUUGGUCCCUGGUUCGAGCCCAGGUGGGCGCA
rnacentral:tRNA from 1 species